UACGAAGGGGGCUAGCGUUGUUCGGAAUCACUGGGCGUAAAGCGCGCGUAGGCGGAUUUUUAAGUCAGAGGUGAAAUCCCAAGGCUCAACCUUGGAACUGCCUUUGAUACUGGGGAUCUUGAGUCCGGGAGAGGUAAGUGGAACUGCGAGUGUAGAGGUGAAAUUCGUAGAUAUUCGCAAGAACACCAGUGGCGAAGGCGGCUCACUGGCCCGGUACUGACGCUGAGGUGCGAAAGCGUGGGGAGCAAACAGG
rnacentral:rRNA from 1 species